GAGGAGCUCGGCCGCAUGAUGCGCGAGGCCGACGCCGACGGCGACGGGUUCAUCUCCCUCGCCGAGUUCGUCGAACUCAACACCAGCCCCCCGGCGGCCGUCGAGGAGGACCUCCGCCUCGCCUUCGCCGUCUUCGACCUCGACCGCAGCGGCGCCAUCUCCGCCGACGAGAUCGCCCGCGUCCUCCGCGGGAUCGGCGAGGGCGCCUCCGUCGCCCAGUGCCGCCGCAUGAUCGACGGCGUCGACCUCGACGGCGACGGCCUCAUCAGCUUCGAGGAGUUCAAGGCCAUGAUGACCGCCGGUGGAUGCAACGCCCAGGCCUUCGCCGCCUUUGCCGCCGCGAAGUAGGCGGUGGAGUUCUCCAAUCGAACCAAUCUGGAUCCACGAGGUUCCCC
rnacentral:lncRNA from 1 species